ACCUACGAGAUGGAGUUGGUUGGCCUUCGGUAACGUCUGACACAGGUGCUGCAUGGCUGUCGUCAGCUCGUGUCGUGAGAUGUUGGGUUAAGCCCGUAACGAGCGCAACCCUUGUCCUUAGUUACCAGCACGUUAUGGUGGGCACUCUAAGGAGACUGCCGGUGACAAACCGGAGGAAGGUGGGGAUGACGUCAAGUCAUCAAGGCCCUUACGGCCUGGGCUACACACGUGCUACAAUGGUCGGUACAAAGGGUUGCCAAGCCGCGAGGUGGAGCUAAUCCCAUAAAACCGAUCGUAGUCCGGAUCGCAGUCUGCAACUCGACUGCGUGAAGUCGGAAUCGCUAGUAAUCGUGAAUCAGAAUGUCACGGUGAAUACGUUCCCGGGCCUU
rnacentral:rRNA from 1 species